rnacentral:rRNA from 1 species
CAGGCCUAACACAUGCAAGUCGAGCGGUAACAGAUCCAGCUUGCUGGAUGCUGACGAGCGGCGGACGGGUGAGUAACGCAUAGGAAUUUACCCGAUAGUGGGGGAUAACCUGGGGAAACCCAGGCUAAUACCGCAUACGUCCUACGGGAGAAAGGGGGCUUUGGCUCCCGCUAUCGGAUGAGCCUAUGCCGGAUUAGCUGGUUGGUGAGGUAAUGGCUCACCAAGGCGACGAUCCGUAGCUGGUCUGAGAGGAUGAUCAGCCACAUCGGGACUGAGACACGGCCCGAACUCCCACGGGAGGCAGCAGUGGGGAAUAUUGGACAAUGGGCGCAAGCCUGAUCCAGCCAUGCCGCGUGUGUGAAGAAGGCCCUCGGGUUGUAAAGCACUUUCAGCGAGGAAGAACGCCUGGCGGUUAAUACCCGCCAGGAAAGACAUCACUCGCAGAAGAAGCACCGGCUAACUCCGUGCCAGCAGCCGCGGUAAUACGGAGGGUGCAAGCGUUAAUCGGAAUUACUGGGCGUAAAGCGCGCGUAGGUGGCUUGAUAAGCCGGUUGUGAAAGCCCCGGGCUCAACCUGGGAACGGCAUCCGGAACUGUCAGGCUAGAGUGCAGGAGAGGAAGGUAGAAUUCCCGGUGUAGCGGUGAAAUGUGUAGAGAUCGGGAGGAAUACCAGUGGCGAAGGCGGCCUUCUGGACUGACACUGACACUGAGGUGCGAAAGCGUGGGUAGCAAACAGGAUUAGAUACCCUGGUAGUCCACGCCGUAAACGAUGUCGACCAGCCGUUGGGUGCCUAGCGCACUUUGUGGCGAAGUUAACGCGAUAAGUCGACCGCCUGGGGAGUCGGCCGCAAGGUUAAAAC